rnacentral:rRNA from 1 species
CCUACGGGAGGCAGCAGUGAGGAAUAUUGCGCAAUGGGCGAAAGCCUGACGCAGCAACGCCGCGUGGGUGAUGAAGGUCUUCGGAUUGUAAAACCCUGUCAGGUGGAGCGAAUAUCAACUGGGCUAACAACUCAGUUGUAUGACGGUACCACCAAAGGAAGCCCCGGCUAACUACGUGCCAGCAGCCGCGGUAAUACGUAGGGGGCAAGCGUUGUUCGGAUUUACUGGGCGUAAAGAGCGCGUAGGCGGUUUGAUAAGUCAUGGGUGAAAGCCCUCAGCUCAACUGAGGUUACGCCCAUGAAACUGUCUGACUUGAGUUUAGGAGAGGAGA